CCUACGGGGGGCAGCAGUCGAGAAUCAUUCACAAUGGGGGAAACCCUGAUGGUGCGACGCCGCGUGGGGGAAUGAAGGUCUUCGGAUUGUAAACCCCUGUCAUGUGGGAGCAAAUUAAAAAGAUAGUACCACAAGAGGAAGAGACGGCUAACUCUGUCCCAGCAGCCGCGGUAAUACAGAGGUCGCAAGCGUUGUUCGGAAUCACUGGGCGUAAAGCGUGCGUAGGCUGUUUCGUAAGUCGUGUGUGAAAGGCGCGGGCUCAACCCGCGGACGGCACAUGAUACUGCGAGACUAGAGUAAGGGAGGGGGAACCGGAAUUCUCGGUGUAGCAGUGAAAUGCGUAGAUAUCGAGAGGAACACUCGUGGCGAAGGCGGGUUCCUGGACAUUAACUGACGCUGCGGCACGAAGGCCAGGGGAGCGAAAGGGAUUAGAUACCCGUGUAGUC
rnacentral:rRNA from 1 species